rnacentral:rRNA from 1 species
AACCCGCCUGCAUGAAGUCGGAAUUGCUAGUAAUCGCGGAUCAGCAUGCCGCGGUGAAUACGUUCCCGGGCCUUGUACACACCGCCCGUCACACCAUGGGAGCCGGUAAUACCCGAAGUCAGUAGUCCAACCUCGUGAGGACGCUGCCGAAGGUAGGAUUGGCGACUGGGGUGAAGUCGUAACAAGGUAGC